UGAUGCUCUAAUAAAAAAGAGGGGAAUAAAAAGAUUUGCAGAAACAUGAAGUGAUAUCACUCUUCUUGGUUUUUUGUUUGUUUUGGAAAAUAGUUAUAUUUAUUAAAAUAUAUGUGAAAAAAUAAGUACGUGUCUAGAUUGUAUCUGUGCACUUAUGUCAGGGGAGCUGUAUUUAUAAGAGAAGAAAAGCACAGAGGUUCACACUCAUGAUCAACUUGAGAAACUUCCCAGGGAUCACAUCUUCUAUCCUGAGAAGGAGAAUUUGACUGGGAAUUUUAUACUUAACUGUUGAAAAUUUGGGGAAUCAGAGGUGACAGAGAAAUAUCAAGGCCACUCUUAUGCUUUCUUACCAGACAGUGCAUCUUGGGACAUGCAUCCUGUCUUGGCCCCCACCCACUGUAUCAAUCCCUGUAGUUCUUCAUUGUCAGGAAAAAGAAUAAGCUGCACUGAGACUCCCUCCCAUUCUCUGGGCACCAAAAACACAUCCUUAUUUGGUUUAAUACAUUUGUAAGUGUGCUAAGCAUUCCCAGUUUUCAAAAUAACAAGUUCAAAGGGGCAAAAAUAGUAUAUGUUCAUUUAUUUAUUUAUUUAUUUGGUGCUAGGGAUCCAAACCCAGGGCCUCAUACAUGCCAAGCAUAGACUCUACCACUGGCCUAUACACCCACUCCAGCACGUGUUCAUUUGUGUUUCCCUAUACUAUAUAGUGCUGCAUCUUACCUACCACAAACAGAUACUGAUUUUUUUUUAAUUAACAAUUAAAUACUGGAUUUUCUGGACAAGGUCACCUUCCUGACCCCCUUUCCACCCUCUGUGCAUCCUCUGUCCACCCUUCCUUACUUUCAGAGUUAGUCACCCCUUAUCCAGUUGUUUACCCAUUGAAGUAGUCUUGAUAUUGAGGGAUGAGUGAGAUGUGUGUUGGAGAUAGACUAAGAGAAGGAUAUGUUUUCUCAUCAGUAGUUUGAUUAUCACCAGAACAUGAGGCCUGUGGGUAGAUAAAAGCCAAGAAAGGAGAGUGUGCUAGCAUUCCAGAAUCAGGGUCUCUUGUUAGGAGUGCAAUAUCUCCAUUGUCCUGCUCUUGAAGUGUAUGUGAUAAGGCCCCUCCUUGUUCCCCUAGAUUUGAGGUUGGAGGCAUCACUUCAGGUCUCCAUGCACCAGAGUCUUAGGACCUCAGCAUUUAUCUGUGGUUCCUUUUCUCUCCCUUCACCUUUUCUACUUUAACCAGUCAAAAUCAUAUCCAAGAUCAGACAACAGAAGCUUUGCCUCCUUCUAGUGGAUAUGCUUGCAUUAAGGAUAACAAAGCUAAGAUUACAUCCCAUAUAUUUUUGACUACUGUC
rnacentral:lncRNA from 1 species